rnacentral:rRNA from 1 species
UGGGGGAUAUUGCACAAUGGGGGGAACCCUGAUGCAGCGACGCCGCGUGGGUGAAGAAGUAUUUCGGUAUGUAAAGCCCUAUCAGCAGGGACGAAGAUGACGGUACCUGAGUAAGAAGCCCCGGCUAACUACGUGCCAGCAGCCGCGGUAAUACGUAGGGGGCAAGCGUUAUCCGGAUUUACUGGGUGUAAAGGGAGCGUAGACGGCAUGGCAAGCCUGGAGUGAAAGCCCGGGGCCCAACCCCGGGACUGCUCUGGGAACUGCCAGGCUGGAGUGCAGGAGGGGUAAGCGGAAUUCCUAGUGUAGCGGUGAAAUGCGUAGAUAUUAGGAGGAACACCGGUGGCGAAGGCGGCUUACUGGACUGUAACUGACGUUGAGGCUCGAAAGCGUGGGGAGCAAACAGG